CCUACGGGAGGCAGCAGUGAGGAAUAUUGGUCAAUGGACGAGAGUCUGAACCAGCCAAGUAGCGUGAAGGAUGACUGCCCUAUGGGUUGUAAACUUCUUUUAUAAAGGAAUAAAACGAGGCACGUGUGCCUUUUUGCAUGUACUUUAUGAAUAAGGAUCGGCUAACUCCGUGCCAGCAGCCGCGGUAAUACGGAGGAUCCGAGCGUUAUCCGGAUUUAUUGGGUUUAAAGGGAGCGUAGAUGGGUUGUUAAGUCAGUUGUUAAAGUUUGCGGCUCAACCGUAAAAUUGCAAUUGAAACUGGCAGUCUUGAGUACAGUUGAGGUAGGCGGAAUUCGUGGUGUAGCGGUGAAAUGCUUAGAUAUCACGAAGAACCCCGAUUGCGAAGGCAGCUUACUAAACUGUGACUGACAUUGAUGCUCGAAAGUGUGGGUAUCAAACAGGAUUAGAUACCCGGGUAGUC
rnacentral:rRNA from 1 species